CACAGACACAGAGAGAGAGCGAGAGAGCAAGAGAAGGAGAUAUACUUUUUAUGGCGCCCUCUCACCUCAUAACCCUUGCAAAUAAGAACAGCACAACAGUCAACCGGUCAACUGUCAUUGGUGCGCUUAUCCCAUGCCGCUAGUGGAGGUGUUCCUGUUCGUGUUCAGGUGAGCGCGUACAGUUAGUUUUACAGUCCUUAUUCCGCUACUUUCAUGAGCCACGGAGAGGAGGAGGAGGACCUGGGACACAGUUGGCCCAUCGUGGUAUACCUUCCCGCAAUCCGGGGAAGAGCACGGAAGGAGGGGAGGCUGGACAGGGAGAGGACGAGGCAUCAGAGGACGAUAACACGGAGAGCGGACACAGUCGACGCCAACGCGACAUGGAGAUGACAACCCGCAAUUUGCACCUCAACUCCAAAGUUGACAAUUGCGAUGGAGUGAUCAACAGAAACGGCGGUGACCUGACUGAGAUAUCUGUACCGCUGUCCCACUCCGGGAAGCGUAUGCCUCAAAUCGAGGGGGGCAAUCUUUAUAGAUUGCGAGAUAGAAAGGUUUUAUUGGAGGACAAAAAGCGUCUGUGCGCUUGGGCUCUGGGCACCGCGCUGCUUGGGACACUGCUCAUGAUACUGCACGCGGAGCUGUGCCCGUUUAUUUACCAACCAGGCUCCCGCUAUGCCUUUAUCAUCAACUGCUCCAUCAGCAUGUCCACUGGGUGUCUUCUGAUUCUCAUCGUAGCCUUCCAUUAUAAGGACAUCAGGCUCUUCAUCAUUGACCACAACCAGGUGGACUGGCGCAUCGCUAUGACAAGCCGCAGGGUGCUGGGCAUCUCCCUGGAGCUGCUGGUCUGUGCCAUCCAUCCCGUGGGCACCUACUGGGAGGUGGGUGUCCCUGCGCCCAUCGCCAGGGAGGGGGUAGAGGUCAACUCCUCCAACUCGGCACCGCUGUGUGUGUCCUCCCGCCACGAGGAGGCACUGUUGGACACAGAGCUGCUACUGUCGGCGUUGAUGUUCCUCAGGCUAUACCUGGUCCACAGGACGAUCCUACUGCACAGCAAGGUGCUGCUCAGUGCCUCCUAUAGGAGUAUCGGCUCGCUCAACAACAUCAACUUCACGUUCCGCUUCGUGCUCAAGGUGCUGAUGAACAAGUACCCGGCGCGCAUGCUGAUGGUGUUCAUCUUCUUGUUCUGGCUCAUCGCUUCCUGGAUGCUCACGCUGUGUGAGAGGCAGAUACAGGAGGAGACUGGUCGUAUGGACACGGCUCUCUGGCUCAUUGCCAUCACCUUCCUCACAGUGGGAUACGGGGAUGUGUCCCCCAAAACCAGCUGUGGAAAAGUGGUGUGCCUCUUCACCGGAGUCAUGGUAACUAUAUGGAGUCAUGGGUGUGGCCUGUACCGCCAUGCUGGUGGCCGUCAUGACCAAGAAGCUGGCGCUGAACAAAGGAGAGAAACACGUGCACUUCUUCAUGAUGGACAUUCAGAUCUCCAAACGGAUCCGCCAUGCUGCUGCCAACGUGCUGAGGGAGUGUUGGCUGCUGCACCGCACCAACCUGACCAAGGGCAACAGUGGAGAGCACCGCAGACACCAGAGGUGCCUACUGGAGGCCAUCAGAGUAUUCCGGCACCUGCGCCUUAAACAAAGGAAGCUGAGAGAUUAUGCCAGUGAGAUGGUCGACCUGCCCAAGAUGAUCAUGUUUGGUUGUUUGUUUGUUUGGUUGAUUGAUGGUGAACAGAUGCAGAUGAUCAUGUUUGGUUGAUUGAUGGUGAACAGAUGAUCAUGUUUGGUUGUUUGCAUGGUUGUUUGCUUGGUUGUUUGUUUGGUUGUUUGCUUGGUUGUUUGUUUGGUUGAUUGAUGGUGAACAGAUGCAGAUGAUCAUGUUUGGUUGUUUGCAUGGUUGUUUGCUUGGUUGUUUGUUUGGUUGUUUGCUUGGAUGUUUGUUUGGUUGAUUGAUGGUGAACAGAUGCAGAUGAUCAUGUUUGGUUGUUUGCUUGGUUGUUUGCUUGGUUGAUUGAUGGUGAACAGAUACAGAUGAUAAUGUUUGGUUGUUUGGUUGGUUGGUUGGUUGGUUGAUUGAUGGUGAACAGAUGAUCAUGUUUGGUUGUUUGGUUGGUUGGUUGGUUGAUUGAUGGUGAACAGAUGAUCAUGUUUGGUUGUUUGGUUGGUUGGUUGGUUGGUUGAUUGAUGGUGAACAGAUGAUCAUGUUUGGUUGUUUGUUUGGUUGGUUGGUUGAUUGAUGGUGAACAGAUGCAGAUGAUCAUGUGCGACUUGAGUGCCAACUGGAACAACUCGUACCGGGAGCUGGAGCAGCGCAUCAUCUCCAUGGAGCAGAAGUUAGACGAGCUGGGUCACUGCUUCCAACAGACCUCUGAGCUGCUGGCACAGGCCCUGCGCUACCGCAACUCUGAGAUCAGGUGACUCGUGGCUGUGUGGUGGUGGUGGUUGGGUGAACCACACUCACUGCAGGCCUUUCCCAAAGACUAGAGAUAGAUGCUACCAGCCUUCUGUCAUUUCCAUCAGACCGGGAUGGGAAUCCUCUUCCCCCCCAAAGCUGCAUUCAACAUUUGACCUGCGGCACCACUUGGACUACUGCCAGGACCAAGGCUGGCAUCGUCUUCUGACCCAGCGGCUGAAUGGACCCUACACAACGACUCGUACUUGUAAAGACAAAAAAGAAAAAGGACUUCAUUUUUCUACAGCGGGGUCUGAUAUAGAUGACUGGUGUAUUCUUAUCAGAUGUGUUUAAUGUACAAAGUAUUGCGUUAACAAUCUCAAUUAUGAACUACAGUAACACGGCCUCUGGUUCUGUAGCUUGUGUCAUCUCAGAGGGAGUGGCUCUAUGGGUUAACCCACUGAUGGCUCUGUAAAGUAAGUCCCCUAACUCCUGCUAUUAGUGUUACAAGUUACAUUGGAGUCUCCUAAACAUAAUGCCUGGUUCCUAUGGAACAAGAGGUUUAAACAGCGUUUUUAAAUGUGAGGGAAACUUCUUUGAAUGCCACUCAGUAUUGACAGCCUCCCUCAAAGCGUCUUUCAAUUAUACCUUUUUCCACAAGUAAAACACAAUGGUUAUUCCACACAUUUUUCCUAACAGGAAGUAUAAAGCGGUGACAUCCUCAGAGGCACCAGUGUAUGAGACAACUGCCUUAUUACUAGAGAGAGCUGCUGGUCACUUAUAAAAUACACAUCUCUGUUCUCUUACUGUUCUAAUCCUCUCCAUUUUGUUAGAUUAGAAAAUAAAACACAAUUUCUCUUCACACAGCCUCAGUCAGAGGGAUAAACUGCUUGGCAGUUGCCAUAUCUCAAGGCCUGCCCGGCCACCCACUCAAACACUCCCUAAGGUACUGUGGAGUUACCAAAGUAGACUCUGAAUUUAACAGAGACUCUUUCCCAUAAAGAACUAAUCUAGACUGUUAAGGCCCGACAUAUAUUGUUGUCUUAAGGAUGAUUGUAUGGGGAAGCAGUCAGUUUACAUAGUUAAGCUGUUCUCAUAAUGAUCAAGAGACAAGUGGCAUAGCCUAAUAAAGUAUGCAGGCUGAUAUUUAUUGGGAUGACUCAUGUACUGGAGGCAGCUCUGCAGAGUGGUCCCUAUCUGGCACAGCCACAGUCAUAAAAUCUGAUUUGAAACCUAACCACACUGCUAAACAUAAUUCCUGACCCAAUUUUUUUUUCAUGAAUUUUUACAAUAUAGCCAAUUUCGACAUUGCAGCUGGCCCAUCUAGCGGAAACCGCUCAGUUCUGCCUCCAGGGCAAGACUCACGACAAUAAACGUCAACCUGCAUAAAGUACAUGGAGACAUUGCUCACUGUUAUUCUAAUUCUGAUGUAACAGCUCCUCCAAGAGGAUAUGUACAUGCAUGACAAUCACACACCAGUCAUAGACAUGAAUGAAUGUCAAACGACAUCAUAUUCUUGGGGCUCUGUGGCAGCCUAUGGGUAAUACAUCAUCACAGUCAAAAUACUUUUGAAAUCCUUUACCAAACAAUACUUGUGUGACAUGGAUUGUUUUUGGACUAGUAACAGCCAAAUUAUACUUAGUACACAGGUAGGAUUAAAAGUGUCCAGUCUUUAAAUGAGGGUGCAUUUUUAGAACACAGCUGUCAAUACAUGUUGCACUCAAGUGUGAAUGGGGAAAUAUGGGUCAGUGGCAUAGCAUUGUCUUAUUUGCAUAAUUUAUGUCAUUCACUUUGUGAAUCCACAAAUUGUACCCGUUCUCCAGCCCCAAUGGUAAGGCUGGUAAUCUGGGGCAUUACCAAAUCAAUCACCUUGUGAGGACAACUAUUCCCAUGGUUGUAUUUAAACGGGACUUCUGCAUUUUCAUUAACUGGAGUUAAGAUAUGUAAUUCUUGAAAAAAUAUAUUUAGUUUUUUUAACAUGAGGAUCAUAUGUACAGGUAAUAUUGUGAAAUCGGCUUACAAAAGGAUAGAUUCUGCAAAAACGAUGUGAAGUGAAACGUUUACAGGUUUUCUUUUGCACAUAAUAAAACCAUGUACUGUAAAUACAUUUUCUGGUCUUCCUGAAAAUUAAAAGCCAUUGGUGAA